rnacentral:rRNA from 1 species
CCUACGGGUGGCAGCAGUGGGGAAUAUUGCACAAUGGGGGGAACCCUGAUGCAGCGACGCCGCGUGAGGGAAGGAGUAUUUCGGUACGUAAAGUUCUAUCAGCAGGGAAGAAAAUGACGGUUCCUGACUAAGGAGCCCCCGCUAAAUACGUGCCAGCAGCCGCGGUAAUACGUAGGGGGCCAGCGUUAUCCGGAUUUACCGGGUGUAAAGGGAGCGUAGGCGGUUUCGCAAGGCAGAAGUGAAAGCCCGGGGUCCAACUCCGGGACUGCUUUUGAAACGGUUGAACUAGAUUGCAGGAGAGGUAAGUGGAAUUCCUGGUGUAGCGGUGAAAUGCGUAGAUAUUAGGAGGAACACCAGUGGCGAAGGCGGCUUACUGGACUGUAAAUGACGCUGAGGCUCGAAAGCGUGGGGAGCAAACAGGAUUAGAUACCCCUGUAGUC